AUUGAACGCUGGCGGCAGGCCUAACACAUGCAAGUCGAACGGUAACAGGAAACAGCUUGCUGUUUCGCUGACGAGUGGCGGACGGGUGAGUAAUGUCUGGGAAGCUGCCUGAUGGAGGGGGAUAACUACUGGAAACGGUAGCUAAUACCGCAUAACGUCGCAAGACCAAAGAGGGGGACCUUCGGCCCUCUUGCCAUCGGAUGUGCCCAGAUGGGAUUAGCUAGUAGGUGGGGUAACGGCUCACCUAGGCGACGAUCCCUAGCUGGUCUGAGAGGAUGACCAGCCACACUGGAACUGAGACACGGUCCAGACUCCUACGGGAGGCAGCAGUGGGGAAUAUUGCACAAUGGGCGCAAGCCUGAUGCAGCCAUGCCGCGUGUAUGAAGAAGGCCUUCGGGUUGUAAAGUACUUUCAGCGGGGAGGAAGGGAGUAAAGUUAAUACCUUUGCUCAUUGACGUUACCCGCAGAAGAAGCACCGGCUAACUCCGUGCCAGCCGCCGCAGUAA
rnacentral:rRNA from 1 species